GCGAAAAACAAUCUAUUUUUUUCGCGACAAGUCGAAAACAUUUUUUUUCUUUCAAUUUAAGCAUUACAUAUAGUGGCAGCUGAGGGUGAAACAAACAAAUUUUUUUUCUCAGAAUCAAAAACAAAUUAUUUUUUUCUCCAAAAACUGGAAACAAACUUUUUUUUCCAAAAAAAACCAUAGCCCCCCCCCCCCCCCAGAAAAUCAAAUGGUUGCUGCCUUAUG
rnacentral:lncRNA from 1 species